rnacentral:rRNA from 1 species
UGGGGAAUAUUGCGCAAUGGGCGGAAGCCUGACGCAGCGACGCCGCGUGGGGGAUGAAGGCCUUCGGGUUGUAAACCUCUUUCAGCUUCGACGAAGCCUCCUUGUGGGGUGACGGUAGGGGCAGAAGAAGCACCGGCCAACUACGUGCCAGCAGCCGCGGUAAUACGUAGGGUGCAAGCGUUGUCCGGAUUUAUUGGGCGUAAAGAGCUCGUAGGCGGUUUGUCGCGUCGGGCUGUGAAAUCUCGGGGCUUAACUUCGAGCUUGCAGUCGAUACGGGCAGACUAGAGUUCGGUAGGGGAGACUGGAAUUCCUGGUGUAGCGGUGAAAUGCGCAGAUAUCAGGAGGAACACCGGUGGCGAAGGCGGGUCUCUGGGCCGAUACUGACGCUGAGGAGCGAAAGCGUGGGGAGCGAACAGGAUUAGAUACCCUGGUAGUCCACGCCGUAAACGUUGGGCGCUAGGUGUGGGGUCCUUUCCACGGGUUCCGUGCCGUAGCUAACGCAUUAAGCGCCCCGCCUGGGGAGUACGGCCGCAA